GACGAACGCUGGCGGCGUGCUUAACACAUGCAAGUCGAGCGAGGCCCUUCCUUCGGGAAGGUGUCCUAGCGGCGAACGGGUGAGUAACACGUGGGCAACCUGCCCUUGGCUCUGGGAUAAGCCCGAGAAAUCGGGUCUAAUACCGGAUACGACACGAGACGGCAUCAUCAUCGUGUGGAAAGAAUUUCGGCCAAGGAUGGGCCCGCGGCCUAUCAGCUAGUUGGUGAGGUAAUGGCUCACCAAGGCGACGACGGGUAACCGGCCUGAGAGGGCGACCGGUCACACUGGGACUGAGACACGGCCCAGACUCCUACGGGUGGCAG
rnacentral:rRNA from 1 species